AACACCAAGAUCCUUAUAUUUGUUGUGUUUAAGAUGUAAAGCUUAUUAAGUUUAUAUGAGUUUUAGCCUCAUUAUUUAAUUCUUGUUAGAAACUAAAUUUAUGAAAAUUAUAAGAAUGCUUAAACAUGUAUGGUCUUUGAAGAGGUUGGUGUAUUAGUGGAUUGAUACUAAUUUCAUCCAGUAUUAAUGAAUUGAAAUGACUUUCUUUUUGUAAUUUGUUUCGCAGGAUAAUAGCCCUUGUCCUAGAUCGCAGGAGAAAUUAACAACUGCAGGAUAAUAGCCUUGAAUUUGAUGUUGUAUUUCAGUUUCACAGAAGCAUACCAUGUGUUUGAGAAAAUGUUUUAUAACCAAAGUUUUUGUAUUGUUGUAUUUUGUACAAAGUACCUGUUGCGGAUUGCUGUUUAUGUGGAUAACCAUAUGUAUGAUUGGUGUUUAUGCAGAUUGUGGUGAGUAAGAUUCGUUUUUGAACUGCAGUAAAAUUUGAGAAAAACUUGAUAUUAUCCUAUGAUAUCAUUAAUUAACAUUCACAUUAUUCUCUGUCCGGUAUCGUUUUUCAUAAAUCAUUUUUAUUUUGCUUCCUAAUUAAAGUCUGUCUAUAUUUAAUUGUAUGAAAUGUUGCAUUUGGUGUAGGUGAAUAAUACAUCAUUGUUAUCUGAGAAAGAAGAAUUACUUAAAGAUAAUUCGAUGCAAAUAGUGUUCCUAUUUACAUUUUACACUUAUGGAUUAGGAGCAAUUUUGGCGAAUGAUACCAGCAAUCAAACAUUUUGUGUUGAAAAGGACGACGUUGAUCCAAAGAUGAUACAUGCUGCAUUGGAUUGGACUGUGGACCCGGAAAAAUUGAAUGCUCCCUUAAUUGUUGUUGCCUUGGAUGUUGAUCCAACGGUGAAGCAAGCACUUCACAUACUACAUGAGUAGAAAGAAUCCUUGAGAAUUUUCUACGAUUCACUGUCAAAAUAGAUACCAACAAGUGAAAUGGAGGAAUGUCAACAUUAAUACUGGAACUUCACAAAAGGCACAAUCGAGACCGAGUAAUACUGGAACUUCACAUAAGCCGCAAUGGUGACAUGAUGACGAUGACGAUUUCAUUUUAAGUCAUAAAAGAAGAAGAGGGUAAGAAGAAAAGCCUCACAAUUUUUAUUUGAUAAAAGUUAUAAAAAUGAAGAAGAAAAGGAUUGUUGAUUCAAAGGGCCUUGCACUGUGAUGUAUGUGUCUUUUGCAAGCAACAUUUAGAUGAAAUAGAGAGUGCUUUUACUCUAUUACUUCUGCCCACUUUAUCUUAUUUGCUUAUCUAAUACAUUUGAGAAGAAGCUCAGAAAGCAAAAGAUGCUUCAGACAGGAAUUUUGAUUAACUCGUCGUCAAAGCCGACGACAAAAACCAGAACUUCACUGAAGCUGUAACCGAGCCGGAAUAUUUUUCAUGUGUCAAAGUUUACUGAUUCAACAAGGGACUUGUAUUGUGUUGUGUGUGUCAAAGUUGAAACAAAGUAAUAAUAAAAUUUGUUCCAUACAAGUUGAAAAUGCAGUGUAUAUAUUCCUUAUGACUUGUUGAUACACUCUCAUUUAUAUG